CCUACGGGUGGCAGCAGUGAGGAAUAUUGGUCAAUGGUCGGGAGACUGAACCAGCCAAGCCGCGUGAGGGAGGAAGGUACAGAGUAUCGUAAACCUCUUUUGUCAGGGAACACAGGCGGGGACGUGUCCCCGGAUGAGUGUACCUGAAGAAAACGCAUCGGCUAACUCCGUGCCAGCAGCCGCGGUAAUACGGAGGAUGCGAGGGUUCUCCGGAUAUAUUGGGUUUAAGGGGUGCGCGGGCGGUCUGUUAAGUGAGCGGUAAAAGCCCGGGGCUAAACCCCGGGCCGCCGUUGAAACUGGCAGUCUCGAGUUGGAGAGAAGUAUGCGGAAUGCGCGGUGUAGCGGUGAAAUGCAUAGAUAUCGCGCAGAACUCCGAUUGCGAAGGCAGCAUGCCGGCUCCACACUGACGCUGAGGCACGAAAGCGUGGGUAUCGAACAGGAUUAGAUACCCGUGUAGUC
rnacentral:rRNA from 1 species